rnacentral:rRNA from 1 species
CGAAUAGGCUUAGUUGGUGGGGUUAAGCUACCAGGCGACGAUCGUAAGCGGGUCUGAGAGGAUGAUCGCCACACUUGGAACUGAGACACUUCAGACCCUACGGAGGCAGCAGUGGGGGAAUAUUGACAUGGGCGCAAGCUGAUCCAGCCAUGCGCGUGUGUGAAGAAGGCCUUAUGGUGUAAAGCACUUUAAGCGAGGAGGAGGCUACUUUAGUUAAUACCUAGAGAUAGUGGACGUUACUCGCAGAAUAAGCACCGGGCUAACUCUGUGCCAGCAGCCGCGGUAAUACAGAGGGUGCAAGCGUUAAUCGGAUUUACUGGGCGUAAAGCGCGCGUAGGCGGCUAAUUAAGUCAAAUGUGAAAUCCCCGAGCUUAACUUGGGAAUUGCAUUCGAUACUGGUUAGCUAGAGUGUGGGAGAGGAUGGUAGAAUUCCAGGUGUAGCGGUGAAAUGCGUAGAGAUCUGGAGGAAUACCGAUGGCGAAGGCAGCCAUCUGGCCUAACACUGACGCUGAGGUGCGAAAGCAUGGGGAGCAAACAGGAUUAGAUACCCUGGUAGUCCAUGCCGUAAACGAUGUCUACUAGCCGUUGGGGCCUUUGAGGCUUUAGUGGCGCAGCUAACGCGAUAAGUAGACCGCCUGGGGAGUACGGUCGCAAGACUAAAACUCAAAUGAAUUGACGGGGGCCCGCACAAGCGGUGGAGCAUGUGGUUUAAUUCGAUGCAACGCGAAGAACCUUACCUGGCCUUGACAUAGUAAGAACUUUCCAGAGAUGGAUUGGUGCCUUCGGGAACUUACAUACAGGUGCUGCAUGGCUGUCGUCAGCUCGUGUCGUGAGAUGUUGGGUUAAGUCCCGCAACGAGCGCAACCCUUUUCCUUAUUUGCCAGCGAGUAAUGUCGGGAACUUUAAGGAUACUGCCAGUGACAAACUGGAGGAAGGCGGGGACGACGUCAAGUCAUCAUGGCCCUUACGGCCAGGGCUACACACGUGCUACAAUGGUCGGUACAAAGGGUUGCUACCUAGCGAUAGGAUGCUAAUCUCAAAAAGCCGAUCGUAGUCCGGAUUGGAGUCUGCAACUCGACUCCAUGAAGUCGGAAUCGCUAGUAAUCGCGGAUCAGAAUGCCGCGGUGAAUACGUUCCCGGGCCUUGUACACACCGCCCGUCACACCAUGGGAGUUUGUUGCACCAGAAGUAGCUAGCCUAACUGCAAAGAGGGCGGUACCACGGUGACCCUCUCA